AACGAACGCUGGCGGCAUGCCUAACACAUGCAAGUCGAACGAGACCUUCGGGUCUAGUGGCGCACGGGUGCGUAACGCGUGGGAACCUGCCCUUAGGUUCGGAAUAACUCCCCGAAAGGGGUGCUAAUACCGGAUAAUGUCUUCGGACCAAAGAUUUAUCGCCUUUGGAUGGGCCCGCGUUGGAUUAGCUAGUUGGUAGGGUAAAAGCCUACCAAGGCGACGAUCCAUAGCUGGUCUGAGAGGAUGAUCAGCCACACUGGGACUGAGACACGGCCCAGACCCCUAGGGGGGGCAGCAGGGGGGAAUAUGGGAAAAGGGGCGAAGGCCUGAUCCAGCAAGGCCGGGUGGGUGAUGAAGGCCUUAGGGUUGUAAAGCUCUUUUCCCCGGGAUGAUAAUGCCAGUACCGGGAGAAUAAGCCCCGGCUACCUCCGU
rnacentral:rRNA from 1 species